AACAGAGGGCCGUUACACUCACAGUGUAAGAACAGACUGACAAUUCCAGGGCGCUGGCUUUUAUGAAAAUAGGAAACGCCACGAUGCACUCUAACGUGGAGAUGGGGCGCCGUUCACACUGAGAUGAGACAGGUGGAAAAGAGAGCUCGCCCUUCUUGCAUUGUCACACGGAGCGGCCCUCUCCCUGUGCAGCGUGGAGUCCCCUGGGCGCGGGCGAGGCUCAGGCGGGACGCGGCGGAGACCGAGCUUGUCCCUGUGUGGACCCGGGCAACUGCCGGUGGGCGAGGCCUGGAUGGUGGCCAGGCCGCAGCCACCCGGACGUUUGCGAGCGCCGAAGGUGUGUAAAAAUCGCUCCAGUGGUGAAUUGGAAACUCGCAGUGCCAGGAAGUGCUUCCACAGGCUUAAUGCAUCUCUGCUCCUCUUUUUUCAUAAAAAUUCAAAGUGUUUAGACGGGGGAUGCUGAGAGAGAA